rnacentral:rRNA from 1 species
GACGAACGCUGGCGGCGUGCCUAAUACAUGCAAGUUGAGCGCUGAAGGUUGGUACUUGUACCGACUGGAUGAGCAGCGAACGGGUGAGUAACGCGUGGGGAAUCUGCCUUUGAGCGGGGGACAACAUUUGGAAACGAAUGCUAAUACCGCAUAAAAACUUUAAACGCAAGUUUUAAGUUUGAAAGAUGCAAUUGCAUCACUCAAAGAUGAUCCCGCGUUGUAUUAGCUAGUUGGUGAGGUAAAGGCUCACCAAGGCGAUGAUACAUAGCCGACCUGAGAGGGUGAUCGGCCACAUUGGGACUGAGACACGGCCCAAACUCCUACGGGAGGCAGCAGUAGGGAAUCUUCGGCAAUGGACGAAAGUCUGACCGAGCAACGCCGCGUGAGUGAAGAAGGUUUUCGGAUCGUAAAACUCUGUUGGUAGAGAAGAACGUUGGUGAGAGUGGAAAGCUCAUCAAGUGACGGUAACUACCCAGAAAGGGACGGCUAACUACGU